UACGUAGGGGGCAAGCGUUGUCCGGAUUUAUUGGGCGUAAAGAGCGUGUAGGCGGUUUGGUAGGUCCGCUGUGAAAACUCGAGCUCAACCUCGAGACGCCGGUGGAAACCAUCAGACUAGAGUCCGGAAGAGGAGAGUGGAAUUCCGUGGUGCAGCGGUGAAAUGCGCAGAGUAUCAGGAAGAACACCCGUGGCUAAGGCGGCUCUCUAGUACGGUACUGACGCUGAGACGCGAAAGCGUGGGGAGCGAACAGG
rnacentral:rRNA from 1 species